AAGUUAUUUUAUUUGCAUACUGUACAAUUGCACUUAUCAUGUUAUUCAUUGCAUUGAAGUCACUAUAUCUGUAGUACAAAGGGUUGGCAUUGGAAAGGAAUGAUAUUCAACACACCUGAAGACACCUGUUCUACUCUAGAGAAAGAACUCCAAAGUAAGAUAUAAUGCAGAUUAAACCCACAUGUGGACAGCUACGACUCAAGGCUUUACAGAUGUUUCUAAAUGAAAUAUAUCAUCCUUUUGAAAGAAAAACAACUCAAGAGAAAAUACCGCGGUGACACGAUGUCAACGCAAAAGUGAAAGGUUUGACACAGAUAAAAGACUUGAUGCCAGUUGAAUCGUGUUAGAAUAUGUUUUGGAAAAACACCUUCAGAAACACCCAGAAUCUAUGAUACAUCCAGUUUUCGUGUUACUCAGCUAUCCAUGUCAAUCCCAAUGUAAAUGUGUCCUUCCAAGAAUGAAAUGUGUGUACGUUCCAAUACAUCAUUGGCCUGAAGUCCAACAUUUUCUUAGAAAUAAACUAGAUUGAAUUGAUUGGACUAAUUACGUUGAAUAAAACAGAGGUAUUGAAAAGGUUUUUAAGCCCCUGCUGCCCCGUUCAGCAGUGCCAGUACAAAUCAACUGUUUCAUGGAAAGGUAUAUUAUAAUUUUUUUUAAGCGAGAACAUCCAAACCAGGACAUUGGGGAUAAUAUAUAAUAAAUAUGCCAUUUAGCAGAUGCUUUUAUCCAAAGCGACAUACAGUCAUGCGUCCAUACCGUUCUGUUUUACGUAAGGAUGAUCCCAGGAAUAAAACCCACCACCGCGCCGUUACAAGCACCAACUGAGCUAUAAAGGACCACGAAGAGAUUGGGAUCGACCAAUGUCUCCAGAAAAACGUGGCUUUAGACAUUAGACCUGGGCUAUUAGGUGUUGUGCGAGGCCUGGUGCGCGGCCUUUUACCUACUAGCCUGUUAUUUACAUAACAUUUAUUCAUUACACCAGGUAUUCACAAACUGGGGUACGCAAUGCCGUCGGAGGUACGCCAAAUAAAAAUAUGAUUCACAUUUUUUUUUUAUUAAAAAUUCUCUCACAUUUUUUAAACAGUACAUUUAUAUUUUUGAACGUGGCUAUACAUUUGGAUGAGGUUUAUUUCUCGCCUGAGUAGCCUUGUUUCACUGCCAAAAAUAAAAUGAAACCAUCUAAUGUUCAGCGAAAUAACAACACAAUGUCAAAUACAGGUAUCCUAGUCAAAUAAUUAACAUCCAAUCACAUUAACUGUUACUCAUCCAAUCACAUUCACCGUUACUCAUCCAAUCACAUUAACUGUUACUCAUCCAAUCACAUUCACCGUUACUCAUCCAAUAACAUUAACUGUUACUCAUCCAAUCACAUUAACUGUUACUCUCUCGCGGGAAACCAGACAUUUAGAAACGAAACAUAACAAUUUGAAAAACAAGACACAGGAGUUUUUUGAGUUAGAAUAAAGAUGACUUUCGAGUAGUAAGACAUGUAUAAAAGCAACAGAUACCAUUAAUAAGAAGGGGCUAGAAGUGUCUUAUAUGGUGAGUUACCGAGUGGCUGGGACAGGAAAGCCUCAUACUAUUGUGGAGGACUUAAUUCUUCCUGCUGCCGUGGAAAUGGGGCGGCAGGGUAGCCUAGUGGUUAGAGUGUUGGACUAGUAACCGGAAGUUCAAACCCCCGAGCUGACCCCUGAACAGGCAGUUCCUAUGCUGUCAUUGGAAAUAAGAAUGUGUUCUUAACUGACUUGCCUGGUUAAAUAAAUACAAUAUGGACAAUGCUGGGGGGGGGGAAAGGCCCAAAAAACUAUACAGACAACGUCUUCAUCAAACAACACAGUUUCACAUCAGUGACACGGCAGGAGAUGUUUGAAACAAUUAUUUCUUCGCAUACAAGCCAAUUAAUUAUAUGUGUUACAGCUGGAUGAGUCAACAGAUGUGGCAGGCCUGGCACAGCUCCUGGUAUAUGUCUGUUACAUUUAUGUAAUAAUAAUACUACUAAUAAUAUGUUCAUCCUCUUCUGCAACCACCGGAAACCAGGACAACAUGAGAGGAUAUUUUUUAAAGUACUGGACAGCUUUGUGACAUCAAAUGGACUUUGGUGGUCAAGAUGUGUUGGUAUCUGUACUGAUGGCGCAAAAGCCAUGACAGGGAGACAUAGUGGAGUGGUAACACGCGUGCAAGCGGUUGCUCACGACACCACUUGGGUCCACUGCAGCAUCCACCGAGAGGCUCUUGCUGCCAAGAGAAUGCCUGAAAGCUUAAAAGACGUUUUGCACACUACAGUGAAAAUUGUUAACUGUUAAAGCAAGGCCCCUGAACUCUCGUGUAUUUUCUUAAAGUUCUUUAAUGACCAUCCUUUUCACCUGUCUGACCGCUUGCAUGAUGACGGGUUUCUCACACGACUGGCCUAUCUGGGUGAUGUUUUUUAUCGCCUGAAUGAUCUGAAUCUAGGAUUACAUGGACUCUCCGCAACUAUAUUCAAUAUGUGGGACAAUAUUAAGGCUAUGAUUAAGAAGUUGGAGAAGUUUUUCUGUCUGCAUUAACACGGACAACACACAGGUCUUCUCUGUCUGCAUUAACACGGACAACACACAGGUCUUCUCUGUCUGCAUUAACACGGACAACACACAGGUCUUCUCUGUCUGCAUUAACACGGACAACACACAGGUCUUUUCUGUCUGCAUUAACACGGACAACACACAGGUCUUUUCUGUCUGCAUGAACACGGACAACACACAGGUCUUCUCUGUCUGCAUUAACACGGACAACACACAGGUCUUCUCUGUCUGCAUGAACACGGACAACACACAGGUCUUCUCUGUCUGCAUUAACACGGACAACACACAGGUCUUCUCUGUCUGCAUUAACACGGACAACACACAGGUCUUCUCUGUCUGCAUUAACACGGACAACACACAGGUCUUCUCUGUCUGCAUGAACACGGACAACACACAGGUCUUCUCUGUCUGCAUUAACACGGACAACACACAGGUCUUCUCUGUCUGCAUUAACAAGGACAACACACAGGUCUUCUCUGUCUGCAUUAACACGGACAACACACAGGUCUUCUCUGUCUGCAUGAACACGGACAACACACAGGUCUUCUCUGUCUGCAUUAACACGGACAACACACAGGUCUUUCCAUCAUCAUAUGAUUUUUUGUGUGCAAAUGAACUCAAGCUUACAGACAAUGUCAAAUGGGAUAUA